CAGAGAAGUUGCCCUUCGGGGUAAAUCUCCCACCCUUGUUUAACGUAUCAAUGUUGCUUUGGUAGGCCCGUCUUUGUGACCACCGGCUUUAGCUGGUCCGCGCCUGCCAGAGGACCCCAAACUCUUUACGUUUUGUGUUGUCUGAGUAAAUCAUAAUAAGUUAA
rnacentral:misc_RNA from 1 species